rnacentral:rRNA from 1 species
CCCUUAGAUGUUCUGGGCCGCACGCGUGCUACACUGAUGCAUUCAACGAGUCUAAAACCUGGUCUGAUAGGGCUGGGUAAUCUUUUGAAAGUGCAUCGUGAUUGGGAUAGAUGAUUGCAAUUCUUCAUCUUCAACGAGGAAUGCCUAGUAAACGCAAGUCAUCAGCUUGCAUUGAUUACGUCCCUGCCCUUUGUACACACCGCCCGUCGCUCCUACCGAUUGAAUGAUCCGAUGAAUACCAUGGAUUGAGAGUACGAAUAGGUUCGCUUAUUUCUGCUUCUCGAGAAGUUGAGUAAAUCUUAUCAUUUAGAGGAAGGAGAAGUCGUAACA